rnacentral:rRNA from 1 species
CAGUGGGGAAUAUUGGACAAUGGGCGAAAGCCUGAUCCAGCAAUGCCGCGUGUGUGAAGAAGGUCUUCGGAUUGUAAAGCACUUUCGACGGGGACGAUGAUGACGGUACCCGUAGAAGAAGCCCCGGCUAACUUCGUGCCAGCAGCCGCGGUAAUACGAAGGGGGCUAGCGUUGCUCGGAAUGACUGGGCGUAAAGGGCGCGUAGGCGGAUGGCACAGUCAGAUGUGAAAUUCCCGGGCUUAACCUGGGGGCUGCAUUUGAUACGUGUGAUCUAGAGUGAGGAAGAGGGUCGUGGAAUUCCCAGUGUAGAGGUGAAAUUCGUAGAUAUUGGGAAGAACACCGGUGGCGAAGGCGGCGACCUGGUCCUUGACUGACGCUGAGGCGCGAAAGCGUGGGGAGCAAACAGGAUUAGA